rnacentral:rRNA from 1 species
UACGAGGGGUGCAAGCGUUACUCGGAAUUACUGGGCGUAAAGCGUGCGUAGGUGGUUCGUUAAGUCUGCCGUGAAAGCCCCGGGCUCAACCUGGGAAUGGCGGUGGAUACUGGCGGACUAGAGUGCGGUAGAGGGUGGUGGAAUUCCCGGUGUAGCAGUGAAAUGCGUAGAGAUCGGGAGGAACAUCUGUGGCGAAGGCGGCCACCUGGACCAGCACUGACACUGAGGCACGAAAGCGUGGGGAGCAAACAGG